rnacentral:rRNA from 1 species
GACCGUAAUGACUGAUACAAUGCAGUCGACGGUGAAGACCAGCUUGCUGGUUGGAUCAGUGGCGAACGGGUGAGUAACACGUGAGCAACCUGCCCUUCACUCUGGGAUAAGCCUUGGAAACGGGGUCUAAUACCGGAUAUGACGUCCCUACGCAUGUGGGGGCGUGGAAAGAUUUAUCGGUGGGGGAUGGGCUCGCGGCCUAUCAGCUUGUUGGUGGGGUAAUGGCCUACCAAGGCGACGACGGGUAGCCGGCCUGAGAGGGCGACCGGCCACACUGGGACUGAGACACGGCCCAGACUCCUACGGGAGGCAGCAGUGGGGAAUAUUGCACAAUGGGCGCAAGCCUGAUGCAGCGACGCCGCGUGAGGGAUGACGGCCUUCGGGUUGUAAACCUCUUUCAGCAGGGAAGAAGCGCAAGUGACGGUACCUGCAGAAGAAGCGCCGGCUAACUACGUGCCAGCAGCCGCGGUGAUACGUAGGGCGCAAGCGUUGUCCGGAAUUAUUGGGCGUAAAGAGCUCGUAGGCGGUCAGUCGCGUCUGCUGUGAAAACUCGAGGCUCAACCUCGGGCUUGCAGUGGGUACGGGCUGACUAGAGUGCGGUAGGGGUGACUGGAAUUCCUGGUGUAGCGGUGGAAUGCGCAGAUAUCAGGAGGAACACCGAUGGCGAAGGCAGGUCACUGGGCCGCAACUGACGCUGAGGAGCGAAAGCAUGGGGAGCGAACAGGAUUAGAUACCCUGGUAGUCCAUGCCGUAAACGUUGGGCACUAGGUGUGGGGUCCAUUCCACGGAUUCCGUGCCGCAGCUAACGCAUUAAGUGCCCCGCCUGGGGAGUACGGCCGCAAGGCUAAAACUCAAAGAAAUUGACGGGGGCCCGCACAAGCGGCGGAGCAUGCGGAUUAAUUCGAUGCAACGCGAAGAACUUACCAAGGCUUGACAUACACCGGAAAGUG